UGGGGAAGAGGGAAAAGUACAGAGAUGUAAAUGCAGUUCUCCCGGUCCCACCAGCGGGUGACUCAUCCACUCAGGGAGAACUGGCUUGUCUGUAACACAGAGAGAACCAUUUUUAUUUCUGCCACUUGGGAUUUUUGCAGUCCCUAGAAGAGACCUUUGGCUUGAGAAGAGCAAGUAGAAGGCAUGGCCUGAACUCAGAUGCCCGCUUUCUCAUUCUCUGGUCCCCGCUCUUUCCAUGAUGGCUCAGUGACUGAUGAUCAGGCACAGAGAAGCGAAAUGACAGCUCCAAGACCACAUACGCAGUCUCAGUACAGUGCUCUCUCCACCGUGCUACAUUAUUUGUUCCAGAAAACACCUAAGCCACACAUUGUUUUGCAGACCAAAGAAACUGGCUUUAUUUAGGGCCAUGCUCACGGUCUGCCAGGCUUCCAGUGUGAACACGAGGCCUUGAUUUGCUACCACCAGCAGCUUUUGAAUGAAUUACCUUGUGAUGCCUUAUGUCAAAAGUAGUGUCACAGAUAGAACCCAAACAUCUGUAAAGGGGGUUACCUGGCACAACCUCUCCACGGCAUGAAACCAGAGCAAUGCUGUGCCAUUCACCCCAUUACGAGAGGAGCCGCAUCCAAAAUAUGUAUGAAAUAGUUUUGUCCACUGCGCACCCAAUGGUUCAUCAGAUGGGAAUGGACCAAGCCCCUUGUGAAACAGCAAAACUCAGGGUAAGAACGGCCCAUGACACAACCUGAGGCAAAGAGCUUUACUGGUAUGUGCAAGGUAGGUUUUCACUGCUCACAUGUGGUUGGUUUGUUGUUGUUUUAUAUCCACCAUGGAAGACGCCUCAGUCCUAAACAAAGAUUGUAGGAAAAUCUGGUAUUAAGCGGGACGUUUCCUUUGCUUGUGAGUCCAUUAUGGCUAACAGUUACCUCCCUGCCAUUCUGUCUUCUACUCCUCCUGCCUGGAAGGUUCUCCCCAUCUCCCCUGCCUCAGUUUCCUCUCAAGAUUUAAGUGUCAC
ensembl:lncRNA